rfam:Candidatus Rokubacteria bacterium GWA2_73_35 gwa2_scaffold_14717, whole genome shotgun sequence.
AGGGAAGGCGGUCAGAAGCCGCCGCGACCCCGUCACUGUAAUCGGGGACGAAACCCGCCGAUGCCACUGGCCGCGAGGCCGGGAAGGCGCGGGGAGUAGGACGAUCCGAGAGCCAGGAGACCU